rnacentral:rRNA from 1 species
UGCUAAAACAUGCAAGUCGAGCGAAUCUGAGGGAGCUUGCUCCCAAAGAUUAGCGGCGGACGGGUGAGUAACACGUGGGCAACCUGCCUGUAAGACUGGGAUAACUCCGGGAAACCGGGGCUAAUACCGGAUAAUAUCUAUUUAUACAUAUAAUUAGAUUGAAAGAUGGUUCUGCUAUCACUUACAGAUGGGCCCGCGGCGCAUUAGCUAGUUGGUGAGGUAACGGCUCACCAAGGCGACGAUGCGUAGCCGACCUGAGAGGGUGAUCGGCCACACUGGGACUGAGACACGGCCCAGACUCCUACGGGAGGCAGCAGUAGGGAAUCUUCCGCAAUGGACGAAAGUCUGACGGAGCAACGCCGCGUGAGUGAUGAAGGUUUUCGGAUCGUAAAACUCUGUUGUUAGGGAAGAACAAGUAUCGGAGUAACUGCCGGUACCUUGACGGUACCUAACCAGAAAGCCACGGCUAACUACGUGCCAGCAGCCGCGGUAAUACGUAGGUGGCAAGCGUUGUCCGGAAUUAUUGGGCGUAAAGCGCGCGCAGGCGG